CCCCUAGAUGUUCUGGGCCGCACGCGCGCUACACUGAACAGUUCAACAAGUCUUAACCUUGGCCGAUAGGUCUGGGUAAUCUUUGAACGCUGUUCGUGAUUGGGAUAGACCUUUGCAAUUAUGGGUCUUCAACUAGGAAUUCCUAGUAAACGCAAGUCAUCAGCUUGCAUUGAUUACGUCCCUGCCCUUUGUACACACCGCCCGUCGCACCUACCGAUUGAAUGGUCCGGUGAAAUCUCGGGACGGCGGCUUGGUCGCUUGCGUCCGACUGCUGAAACUUGAUUAAACCAUAUCAUUUAGAGGAAGGUGAAGUCGUANCA
rnacentral:rRNA from 1 species